rnacentral:rRNA from 1 species
UACGUAGGGUGCGAGCGUUAAUCGGAAUUACUGGGCGUAAAGCGUGCGCAGGCGGUUCGUUGCGUCGGUGGUGAAAGCCCCGGGCUUAACCUGGGAAUGGCCAUGGAAACUGGCGAACUGGAGUGUGGCAGAGGGGGGUGGAAUUCCGCGUGUAGCAGUGAAAUGCGUAGAGAUGCGGAGGAACACCGAUGGCGAAGGCAGCCCCCUGGGCUAACACUGACGCUCAGGCACGAAAGCGUGGGGAGCAAACAGG